CCUUACUAUAAGUGUUGUCUAAAUUACUGGUGCCAGAAGACUCGGUAACACCAGAAACGCGAACGUUAGUCGUCUUAAACAGGCGUAAAGGGUAAGUAGGCUGCUUUAAAACCUCUAUUUUUAAACUAAUUUUACUUCUCUAGACUAGCUUUAUUACAAAAAUAAACUAGAAAAAGGGAUGGAAAAUAAGCUCUAAAUUUAAUAAAUAAUAAUAAAUUUUCUCAAAAAAUUAAAUAAAAUGGACCUUUAAUUUUAUUAAGAUCUGUAAAAAUAGAAUUAAUUAAAGCUAGAAUCAUAAUGGAGAUAAACCAAAUAAUACUUAUGUGUAAGGAUGAUAUCUAAAGAUACUAAGUAGAAUA
rnacentral:rRNA from 2 species